rnacentral:rRNA from 1 species
UACAGAGGGUGCGAGCGUUGUCCGGAAUCACUGGGCGUAAAGGGCGCGUAGGUGGCUUGUUAAGCGUGUGGUGAAAGCCUGGGGCUCAACCCCAGGUCUGCCGUGCGAACUGGCAAGCUUGAGCGUAGUAGAGGCAGGUGGAAUUUCGGGUGUAGCGGUGGAAUGCGUAGAUAUCCGAAAGAACACCGGUGGCGAAGGCGGCCUGCUGGGCUACUGCUGACGCUGAGGCGCGACAGCGUGGGGAGCAAACAGG